rnacentral:rRNA from 1 species
AUUGAACGCUGGCGGCAGGCCUAACACAUGCAAGUCGAGCGAGCGGCGGACGGGUGAGUAAUGUCUGGGAAACUGCCUGAUGGAGGGGGAUAACUACUGGAAACGGUAGCUAAUACCGCAUAACAUCAGAUGUGCCCAGAUGGGAUUAGCUAGUAGGUGGGGUAAUGUCUAGCUUAGGCGACGAUCCCUCGCUGGUCUAAGAGGAUGACCAGCCACACGUGAACUGAGAAACGGUCCAGACUCCUACGGGAGGCAGCAGUGGGGAAUAUUGCACAUUGGGCGCAAUCCUGAUGCAGCCAUGCCGCGUGUAUGAAGAAGGCCUUCGGGUUGUAAAGUACUUUCAGCGAGGAGGCGUUACUCGCAGAAGAAGCACCGGCUAACUCCGUGCCAGCAGCCGCGGUAAUAC